CACUGCAUAGAGAAAGUCACCUGGAAUUAAUAGGAUUCCUUGAUAUUUGUUUUCAACAAAUACUUCCUGAAUGCCUACUAUGCACCAAACUCCACAGUCAGGAACAGGCCUAAUCCUGUUGGUGUUUUUAUUUCAGUCUCAGCUCUGUCAACCUGCUUGAAGCUGCAAGGAAUUUGGUGCUCGGGGACAGGCCUCCACAAGUCCAAUGAAGUUGGCUGCGUUUCUGAUUCACUUCUCUAUCCAAGAAUAAAAAUAGGGGCUGAUCUACUCAAACGAUCCUGGGAGAUUAAAAGAUUUUGAAGCCAAAACAAAACCCGAGAUAAGCUGCCUACGUGUGCGUGAGGAGGCAAGUCAGUUCCAGGAGCCAGCAGUGUCCGGGAAGGGCUCCCCGCAGCCUGACAGGACUUGUCCCAGCGACCUCUUCCCUCCCGAGGUCCUGUUACCUGUGUGCGUGUCAGGACAAAGCCCUCUGUGCCACUGGCCUCCCUCUCACGUGGUGCUGUCCUGCCCUUUUUUGCUCGGUAAUUUCCAGUUAAAGCUCAGCUGUGUGUGUGUGUGUGUGUGUGUGUGUGUGUGUGUUUAUGUCUACUCCACUCAUCACAAAUACCUUUAAUAAGCAAAUUUACCUCCUCCAUUUGCUGAAUUUUAUGUCUUCUCUAUUCCUUGAUGAGAAUUGAAUGGGAUCAUUCCAUGGCUUUGACAUUGGUUUCUUGUCCUCUCAAGGGCUCACAGAGCACGGCCCAGAAAGGACUAAUGGUGCCGGUGCUGUAGCAGGACCUCCUCUAUUUGGGACAGCCUAGCACGUGAAAUCCUCUAGGACCCCCAGCCUGCAGUGGGUGGUCAGUGUGUGCAGUGAAAGAGCAGGGAUUCCAAUGUUGAGCUGAGGUGAAUGUAAAGGGGGAAGACCUCUCAGAAGAUGCAGGUUUUGAAGAGCGAGCUAUAAGCUAUAUCGUUUUGCUUUGGAAAGACACUGGAUUUAGAACCAGCUGCAGUCCUUUAACAACCUCUCUGACCCUCAUUAUCCAUGUGGCCUUUGGCAACCUCUGUGAGCCUCAGUUUUCUUGUCUUCCCCCGCUAUGGGGAUGUCAGAGGCAACUCCAGGCGGUAACACACUGGAAAAUGCUGCAAGUCCACAGUACUGGGUGGAGAGAAAUUUAUUGUUAUUAUUGUUGUUCUCUUUCACCCCAAAUGGACAGCUUGAUCUUUCCCUUAGGGAAACGCUUUCAAAUAAAGUGAUUAUGUUUUGGAGACCUAGCAAAAUGGAUUUGGAUAACUUCCAUCAGGAGGGAGGAAGAGAGCCGGUGGCCUUUUGUUAUGAGACCACAGGUAACCAAAUGUUU
rnacentral:lncRNA from 10 species